GCUUAAUCGAGUAAUUGAAAAAAUGGGUGGCAUCUUUGGCUUCAGAGAUUCUGUUCCCUUUGGUUGCGUUCACACUCUGAAGAUCCCUCCCCAAGUGCCGUGUUCACACUUCACUUCACUCGGCUUCCUCCUAGCUCGGCUCCAUCCAGAUUUCUAAAAUUACUAAUUUGAUUUAAUUUGUGUAUAAAUAACGCCUCUAUAAAUUAAAUUAUCAAAUUUCAUAUGUUUUAGUGUUAUGGUAGAUAUCUUAUAAAGUUAUAAUCAAUCGUAGUUUAUUGUUAACGAACAUGUUAUAAAUUUACAUGUUAAUAGAUUUUUGUUUUAUUAAAAUAUUCUUAAACA
rnacentral:lncRNA from 1 species